GAGCUAAAUUUGACGGAUAUCACAUUGUGAAAUUUUGAUUGGACAGGAGACCAUCCAAUGGGAAAAAAGGGCGGGAAAGACGCCUUGGUUGCCGGGGUUAAAAGCAAGAGAGGAGGAAGAAUGUAAACUUUAUGUCUAAUGGAGAAUAGAAGGCGAUAGAGAAUGGUUGAUAUCAAAUAUGGAAGGUUUUUUAUUAUUUGUCAUCGGUCUUAAUGAGGAAAUGCAAUCCUAUAUAUGGUUUUCUAGAGUUGAGCACAUUGAACACAAUGAGAUUUUAUUUUAUAUAAUUAUAUAGAUGAUACUGUUUUACUUCUCAGAUAUACAAAAUUGCAAGUGGCUUAAUAUUUCAAUUAUUUGAACUGCAUUCCUGUUAAAGGAAGAAUCACUCGAUUUUUCAUUUUUUAUGAUAGAGUAAAGGUUAGCUUACUGCAUAUAGAGAAUUUAAACAUUUUGGCUUCAUGUUUUGAUAGGCCCUCUAUUACAGUAAUUGAAUUUAUUAAACUUAUUAGUUUCUCUCUCAGAAUUAGCAACUUUUCCAUUCCACUCAAACAUUGGCAUAGACUCUUCUCCAUAUCACAUUCCAGUUCUACUUAUCCUCUAAUACUUUGCUGAGUGUGGAUAAUAUGACAAAAUUCUAGGGUUUCCUCACAUGUGUUCCAGAUGCAGAAAGUACUUUCUAGAAAAUGAGCAUGUCUUAGACUGUUUGCAUGAGGGAGAUCACAACUGUUUGUACCCAUCUUAUCGGAGGGAGAAGACUCCGAAAGUGAAGGAGAGGAGUUGGCAAGGCUUCCCUCUCCAGGACCCUCCUCUCUGGCAAUGCCUCAGGUGUCUUCCGAAGGAGAAGAGAUAGGCCAGGAGCCAGGCAUCUCCGAGCAGCCGCAGUUAGACAGCGACGGAGAUAAGUCUUGGCUGAAUCCCUGCCAGCGUCGGAAAGACAAGCUCACGAAGCAGAGAAGGAGGCAUGCCAGAGAUUAAACUGAGUCACUGGACCACACCCUAUAGGGGAUAAAAGGGGGUGUGGUGGCCAUUCAGGCUUUGUGACGGACAAAACUGAAUAGCUAGCAAGUCAUACUGUGUUCCUGAAACUUCGUUAUAUGCCUUCCUUGGAUUUAUUAUGGACUGGACUUGACAAUUCUUUGGCUUUGUGAAUUUAUUUUGCUUUAUCUGACGGAGGAGGAACACCUCCCUUUGUGAGUAAAGUUUUUGGCAAGCAGCUACUGGGUUGCUGCCAAUUCUGUUAUCAAAGGAAAUUCCUGACUGCUGGUUUUAUUAACUCCUGGCUGACUGUUUGUGUGUGUGUGUGAGACGGGGACAGAACAUGUUCUUUUAAAUACUGCU